rnacentral:tRNA from 1 species
UGGCUCAGUUGGUAGAGCAUGGUGUUUGCAACGCCAGGGUUGUGGGUUCAAUUCCCAA